GACGAACGCUGGCGGCGUGCUUAACACAUGCAAGUCGAACGGAAAGGCCUGCUUUCCCUUGUGGAUUGCGGGUACUCGAGUGGCGAACGGGUGAGUAACACGUGAGUGAUCUGCCCCCAACUUGGGUAUAAGCCUGGGAAACUGGGUCUAAUUCCCGAUAGGACUGCAGGGUGGUGCCUGUGGUGGAAAACGAUUUUCUAGUGGUUGGGGAUGAGCUCGCGGCCUAUCAGCUUGUUGGUGGGGUAAUGGCCUACCAAGGCGGCGACGGGUAGCCGGCCUGGGAGGGUGGACGGGCACAUUGGGAAUGGGAUACGGCCCAGAAUCCUACGGGGGGCAGGCGUGGGGAAUAUUGGACAAUGGGGGGGAGCCUGAUGCCGGCACGGCGGGGGGGGGAUGAAGGGCUUCGGGUUGUUAACCCCUUUCGGCCGGGGGGAAGGCACCUGGUUGGAAGGGUGGUGACGGUAGUGGUAGAAGAAGCACCGGCUAACUACGUG
rnacentral:rRNA from 1 species